rnacentral:rRNA from 1 species
ACUGAGUGGCGGACGGGUGAGUAACGCGUGGGAAACCUACCUCAUAAAGGGGGAUAACAGUUAAAAAUGACUGCUAAUACCGCAUAAGCGCACUGUGGUGCUUGGGACAGUGUGAAAAACUCCGGUGGUAUGAAAUGGACCCCCGUCUGAUUAGCUAAUUGGUGAGGUAACGGCUCACCAGGGCAACAAUCAUUACCCGGCCUGAAAGGGGGAACGGCCACUUUGGAACUGAAACACGGCCCAAACUCCUACGGAAGGCAGCAGGGGGGAAUAUUGCACAAUGAGGGAAACCCUGAUGCACCGACCCCCCGUGAGUGAAAAAGUAUUUCGGUAUGUAACGCUCUAUCAGGAGGAAAAAUAAAGAACGGACCUGCCUAAAAAGCUCCCGCUAAAUACCUGCCCACCGCCGCGGGAAUACCUAUGGAGCAAGCGUUAUCCGGAUUUACUGGGUGGAAAGGGUGCGGAGGUGGUAUGGCAAGUCAGAAGUGAAAACCCGGGGCUCCACCCCGCGGAUUGCUUUUGAAACUGUCAAACUAGAGUACAGGAGAGGUAAGUGGAAUUCCUAGUGUAGCGGUGAAAUGCGUAGAUAUUAGGAGGAACACCAGUGGCGAAGGCGGAUUACUGGACUGAAACUGACACGUGAGGCCAGAAAGCGUGGGGAGCAAACCGGAUUAGAUACCCUGGUAGUUCACGCCGUAAACGAUGAAUACUAGGUGUCGGGGCGUAUAAGGCUUCGGUGCCGCAGCAAACGCAAUAAGUAUUCCCCCUGGGGAGUACGUUAUGCAAGAAUGAAACUCAAAGGAAUUGACGGGGACCCGCACAAGCGGUGGAGCAUGUGGUUUAAUUUGAAGCAACGCGAAGAACCCUACCAGGUCUUGACAUCUCACUGACCGUUCGGUAAUGGGAACUUUCUUUCGGGACAGUGGUGCCAGGUGGUGCAUGGUAGUGGUCAGCUCGUGUCGUGAGAUGUUGGGUUAAGUCCCGCAACGAGCGCAACCCCUAUUUCCAGUAGCCAGCAGUAAGAUGGGCACUCUGGAGAGACUGCCGGGGAUAACCCGGAGGAAGGUGGGGACGACGUCAAAUCAUCAUGCCCCUUAUGAUCUGGGCUACACACGUGAUACAAUGGUGUUCACAAAGGGAAGCGAUACUGUGAAGUGGAGCAAACCCCAAAAAGGACAUCUCAGUUCGGAUUGUAGUCUGCAACUCGCCUACAUGAAGUUGGAAUCGCUAGUAAUCGCGAAUCAGAAUGUCGCGGUGAAUACGUUCCCGG